GCAGGUGCCGGUUAUAAUGCAACUUAUGGCACUCCUGAAGCUGGGUAUACUGGAAAUCCUUACCCCGCCAGCUAUGGCAUAAAUCCUAUGCAGGCUGGUGCAGAAACUUAUCCUCAUUAUGGACCUGGACCUGGAUCUUGGGGUGCAUAUGAUAUGCAGCGAGCUCAAGGACACAGAUAGAUUGGUCAUCAGAUCAUGCUAAAAUUGUCUUAUCUGGUUUUCAACCUUUGGUGCUUCUAAUCUGCUGCUUCUGCCAUUAUUGCUGAUUUUUGAAUUUUUUGAGGGAAGCUUUGUUCUUCUCAGUGAUUGCUCGACAUUCCAAGGUUAGAGAAGUUAUUUAGUUGGGACCAGAAUCGUUGUGUCAAAUGCUGGAGCAGGAUGAAGAUUUCAAUGAGACAUGGCAGGUGGAAGUCUGUAUGCAUUAAAAUUUUCCCAGUUUGAUGUUGGAAUUAUGGACUCCAUUGACGAUCCAUUGGCAAUAGUGAUUCCUCUGUUUCUUGUUAACACCAUUCGAUUAACUCAGAAUUAUUAUCUACAUUUUAUUCAGGUGACACUGUCAAGAACCAGAACUGUUGAAUUCUUUUUUAUUUUUUGGCCACCCUGCCAGAAAGAAAUGUCACCAGACGCAUGCAAGUCCUUCCACAAUGGAUGUAAGACUUCACAUUGAUGCUAUCGUUCAUACCCGACAAUGGUUUUAUGGCUUGUUUCCUUACCAAUGUAUGCAUACUGUUGCUGGCACUCUCUGAAAUCCCCGCAAAUAUUGUUGUUCCAAUUCUUCCCACACGAGGCUUGCGGCAGGAAGAUUCAUGGUCUAGCUACCUCUGUUGGCAUAUUUUAGUUGGUGAUACUGUAUAGAUGGUCCUCAUUUUCUUUAUUUUUUCAUCUCUUUCCUUGAGUUGAAAACACAUUUUGAAGUGAUUUAGUUUUUAAUAUAAUUUCUUGAGCUCAAU